rnacentral:rRNA from 1 species
AACGAACGCUGGCGGCAGGUCUUAGGCAUGCAAGUCGAACGGGUGUAGCAAUACAUCAGUGGCGCACGAGUGAGUAACGCGUGGGAAACUACCCAUCACUGGGGAAUAACGUUUGGAAACGAACGCUAAUACCGCAUACGCCCGAAAGGGGAAAGAUUUAUCGGUGAUGGAUGUGCCCGCGUUGGAUUAGCUUGUUGGUGGGGUAACGGCCUACCAAGGCGAUGAUCCAUAGCUGGUCUGAGAGGACGAUCAGCCACGCUGGAACUGAGACACGGUCCAGACUCCUACGGGAGACAGCAGUUAAGAAUAUUGGACAACGGGGGGAAACCCUGAUCCAGCCAUGCCGCGUGAAUGAAGAAGGCCUUGGUGUAAGUCUUAGUCGUGAAGAUGAUGACAGUAGC